rnacentral:rRNA from 1 species
UUGCUUUGGCGGGCCGCGGUCCUCCGCGGCCGCCCCCCUCCCCGGGGGGUGGCCAGCGCCCGCCAGAGGACCAUCAAACUCCAGUCAGUAAACGAUGCAGUCUGAAAAACAUUUAAUAAACUAAAACUUUCAACAACGGAUCUCUUGGUUCUGGCAUCGAUGAAGAACGCAGCGAAAUGCGAUAAGUAAUGUGAAUUGCAGAAUUCAGUGAAUCAUCGAAUCUUUGAACGCACAUUGCGCCCUUUGGUAUUCCGAAGGGCAUGCCUGUUCGAGCGUCAUUACAACCCUCAAGCUCUGCUUGGUAUUGGGCACCGUCCUUUGCGGGCGCGCCUCAAAGACCUCGGCGGUGGCGUCUUGCCUCAAGCGUAGUAGAACAUACAUCUCGCUUCGGAGCGCAGGGCGUCGCCCGCCGGACGAACCUUCUGAACUUUUCUCAAGGUUGACCUCGGAUCAGGUAGGGAUACCCGCUGAACUUAAGCAUAUCA